rnacentral:rRNA from 1 species
GCUAGCUACAGGCUUAACACAUGCAAGUCGAGGGGCAGCAUGGUCUUAGCUUGCUAAGGCCGAUGGCGACCGGCGCACGGGUGAGUAACACGUAUCCAACCUGCCGUCUACUCUUGGACAGCCUUCUGAAAGGAAGAUUAAUACAAGAUGGCAUCAUGAGUCCGCAUGUUCACAUGAUUAAAGGUAUUCCGGUAGACGAUGGGGAUGCGUUCCAUUAGAUAGUAGGCGGGGUAACGGCCCACCUAGUCUUCGAUGGAUAGGGGUUCUGAGAGGAAGGUCCCCCACAUUGGAACUGAGACACGGUCCAAACUCCUACGGGAGGCAGCAGUGAGGAAUAUUGGUCAAUGGGCGAGAGCCUGAACCAGCCAAGUAGCGUGAAGGAUGACUGCCCUAUGGGUUGUAAACUUCUUUUAUAAAGGAAUAAAGUCGGGUAUGGAUACCCGUUUGCAUGUACUUUAUGAAUAAGGAUCGGCUAACUCCGUGCCAGCAGCCGCGGUAAUACGGAGGAUCCGAGCGUUAUCCGGAUUUAUUGGGUUUAAAGGGAGCGUAGAUGGAUGUUUAAGUCAGUUGUGAAAGUUUGCGGCUCAACCGUAAAAUUGCAGUUGAUACUGGAUAUCUUGAGUGCAGUUGAGGCAGGCGGAAUUCGUGGUGUAGCGGUGAAAUGCUUAGAUAUCACGAAGAACUCCGAUUGUGAAGGCAGCCUGCUAAGCUGCAACUGACAUUGAGGCUCGAAAGUGUGGGUAUCAAACAGGAUUAGAUACCCUGGUAGUCCACACGGUAAACGAUGAAUACUCGCUGUUUGCGAUAUACUGCAAGCGGCCAAGCGAAAGCGUUAAGUAUUCCACCUGGGGAGUACGCCGGCAACGGUGAAACUCAAAGGAAUUGACGGGGGCCCGCACAAGCGGAGGAACAUGUGGUUUAAUUCGAUGAUACGCGAGGAACCUUACCCGGGCUUAAAUUGCAGAUGAAUUACGGUGAAAGCCGUAAGCCGCAAGGCAUCUGUGAAGGUGCUGCAUGGUUGUCGUCAGCUCGUGCCGUGAGGUGUCGGCUUAAGUGCCAUAACGAGCGCAACCCUUGUUGUCAGUUACUAACAGGUUCCGCUGAGGACUCUGACAAGACUGCCAUCGUAAGAUGUGAGGAAGGUGGGGAUGACGUCAAAUCAGCACGGCCCUUACGUCCGGGGCUACACACGUGUUACAAUGGGGGGUACAGAGGGCCGCUACCACGCGAGUGGAUGCCAAUCCCCAAAACCUCUCUCAGUUCGGACUGGAGUCUGCAACCCGACUCCACGAAGCUGGAUUCGCUAGUAAUCGCGCAUCAGCCACGGCGCGGUGAAUACGUUCCCGGGCCUUGUACACACCGCCCGUCAAGCCAUGGGAGCCGGGGGUACCUGAAGUGCGUAACCGCGAGGAGCGCCCUAGGGUAAAACUGGUGACUGGGGU